CCUACGGGUGGCAGCAGUGAGGAAUAUUGGUCAAUGGGCGAGAGCCUGAACCAGCCAAGUCGCGUGAAGGAUGACGGCCCUACGGGUUGUAAACUUCUUUUGUCAGGGAGCAAUUGGGUCCACGCGUGGGCUUAGCGAGAGUACCUGAAGAAAAAGCAUCGGCUAACUCCGUGCCAGCAGCCGCGGUAAUACGGAGGAUCCGAGCGUUAUCCGGAUUUAUUGGGUUUAAAGGGAGCGUAGGUGGAUUGUUAAGUCAGUUGUGAAAGUUUGCGGCUCAACCGUAAAAUUGCAGUUGAAACUGGCAGUCUUGAGUACAGUAGAGGUGGGCGGAAUUCGUGGUGUAGCGGUGAAAUGCUUAGAUAUCACGAAGAACUCCGAUUGCGAAGGCAGCUCACUGGACUGCAACUGACACUGAUGCUCGAAAGUGUGGGUAUCAAACAGGAUUAGAUACCCGUGUAGUC
rnacentral:rRNA from 1 species